GUUACGCAGUUUGCCAUGAAAACUGUCAAAUUACUCAAUAUUUGUACAUCUUCAGAUUAGGUUUCUUUUCUGAUACCCAUAAGAAAAAUAUGAUUAUGGAUUUGGGCUUAGAUGGCUGUUCAAUCUCAGUAUUUAGUUAAAAUGCACAACAGGUUUUCCUUUAAUAUUCCUCUAUAAGGGAUUUAAAAUCCAGAACAUGAAUUGGAGUUCAAAGUUUCUUUAAAGGUCAAUUUGUAGAUCAAUGCUUCAAUUCUUUUCUAAAGGCUUAGCAAACAGAUGCAGUGGGCUGUUCUAUUAAAAAUAGCAAUAAAUCUCUAAAAAUUAGAAAGAGUGAAAUUAGAUGAGGAUUAAUUUCACCAUUUUCUCUUUUAUUUUGUUCUUGUUAAAUGCGUGUCGGGAGAGGAAUCUUUUCUUGUACCAAAUAUUUUUGGUGCUUAACUAUAACCCCCAGCUGAUUAAAUAUCAGCCUAUGUUCCACAAAAUUAGCAUGUGGACAAAAUAAAUGUUUGUUAGUGGAAAAAUACUUUUUAAAAUAUCUGACUAUUUUCCCACUGAAUGUAUGCUUUAAUUACAAGUAUUAAAAAUUAAUGGGCCAC